CAAUAUUUAAAAGACAGAUUUGGGUUAAUUCAGGGUAAAAAAAAAAAAGAUACAUUCUGGGGAGUUGAGUACAGUCUUGUCAUGCUUCUGUGUUUAGAGAUCUGUGGUAAUUCAGUCUCCGGUGUAUUUACUUGGAAAGAAUAAGUCAGUCUGCUUUGAGCUUAUCUUCAAAAACACUGUGGUAUGUUUUGUGACCAUUUCAUUUGAAGCGGGGCUAAGAACAUUGCCUCCAGUAGGUCAGCUGCUCAUAUUGGAGUAAUAACCAUGAAAAAUGGGAUUUCCUGGGAAUUCAUUACCAGUUAGGAUCCCCUCAGUAAGAUGCAAAGCUUCAUUUUGCUGUGACCAUCAGACCUGAGAAGCAGCUCGAUCAGUAGAGCAGAUAGGUUGCAGUGAAUGUACUAGCCAAACAUCGAUCACGGAUGUUUCUUUGAUGAAGGCAAAGAUGGAGAACUGACCACAACUACUUGCCAUGCAGAUGCUGUGCCAAGGACAAGGUAAGGCAGCUGAUUUCAGGAACUUGCAGCACAGUGACAUAUCUAAAAUAAAUGUUCACAAGUUACUGAAAUAAACUACUGUGGCUAUACUGCACUGCA
ensembl:lncRNA